UACGGAGGGUGCAAGCGUUAUUCGGAAUUACUGGGCGUAAAGCGCGUGUAGGCGGGAAGGUAAGUCUGAUGUGAAAGCCCUGGGCUCAACCUGGGAAGUGCAUUGGAUACUGCUUUUCUUGAGUUCUGGAGAGGAUGGGGGAAUUCCCGGUGUAGAGGUGAAAUUCGUAGAGAUCGGGAGGAAUAUCAGUGGCGAAGGCGCCCAUCUGGACGGCAACUGACACUGAGGGACGAAAGCUAGGGGAGCGAAAGGG
rnacentral:rRNA from 1 species